UCUUACGCUGUAUGACAGUAUUAAUGUUAUUGACGUAAAUAAAGUUGUGGAAUAUGUUAAAGGUCUACAGAAAGAAGAUGGUUCUUUUGCUGGAGAUAUUUGGGGAGAAAUUGACACAAGAUUCUCUUUUUGUGCGGUGGCAACUUUGGCUUUGUUGGGGAAGCUUGAUGCUAUUAAUGUGGAAAAGGCAAUCGAAUUUGUUUUAUCCUGUAUGAACUUUGACGGUGGAUUUGGUUGCAGACCAGGUUCUGAAUCCCAUGCUGGGCAGAUCUAUUGUUGCACAGGAUUUCUGGCAAUUACAAGUCAGUUGCAUCAAGUAAAUUCUGAUUUACUUGGCUGGUGGCUUUGUGAACGACAAUUACCCUCAGGCGGGCUCAAUGGAAGGCCGGAGAAGUUACCAGAUGUAUGCUACUCAUGGUGGGUCCUGGCUUCCCUAAAGAUAAUUGGAAGACUUCAUUGGAUUGAUAGAGAGAAACUGCGUAAUUUCAUUUUAGCAUGUCAAGAUGAAGAAACGGGGGGAUUUGCAGACAGGCCAGGAGAUAUGGCAAGUGGAUCCUUUUCAUACCUUAUUUGGAAUUGCUGGAUUGUCACUUUUGGGAGAAGAACAGAUUAAACCUGUUAAUCCUGUCUUUUGCAUGCCUGAAGAAGUGCUUCAGAGAGUGAAUGUUCAGCCUGAGCUAGUGAGCUAGAUUCAUUGAAUUGAAAGUUGCAUAGUAUAGUUUUGCCAUUUUAACAUUUCUGUAUUUGAAGUGCUUAUCGAAUCUAAAAGUGACUACUGUUAAUAUUUUGUAUAUUGUGUUAAAUUAAUUUUAAUAAAUUAUAUAAUUAUACAUAUUG
rnacentral:lncRNA from 1 species